AAGACAGGCACUUCGGCUGCGUCCGAAAUGGCAUACUUCCCUACUAUAUAGUAUGGAAAAAGCAGUAGGCGAGCGAAUGAGUAUGUUUGAAUCCUUUGUGUUCAUAAAAGAGUAGGUGAGAAUUGCACUAAUUCUUGUGAGAUUUGGAGGUACGUAUACUAAAUUUGCGUUCUAAUAUGCCUACUUACCUACUAUAUAGUAGGGAAAAAGAGUAUGUGAAGAAAGAAGUACGUUCAAAAACCUCAGUAUUCAUGAAACAGUAGGCGAGAAAUCCCCGGAUGUCCUUCUGCUUCAGCCCAGAUUCUGGAGUGUUCAUCGAUCGAUACUUUUCAAUCCCAGGAUGCCACGCGAGGAUCAUCGAACGUGAAGGAGAGCAGCGACGAAGGUUUAUAAAUGGACAGAUGAGACACACGUGUGUUUAUCUGCUGCAGAGACACUGAUGAAGAAAUGCUGCAAUCAAUCUUUUGUGGUGGAGCAGGUGACAGCAGCAUUUGUGAAAAACCUGAAAUCAAAAUAUAAAAUAAGAUCAUUUUAUUAGUUUUAAUACAGAAAUGAAAGGACACUGUGCUGUUAAAAUUACUGCUUUUGUUUUGUAUUUGUGCAUCUUUGCAGGAUCUGAAAUGUCUGCAGACUGCUGUGUGCACUGAGGAUGGAGAAGACCACAGCAGCAUCCUGGAAAUGGUCCAGUGUCAUGAAUGAAACGCUCCAUCACUGCAUCUCCUCUUGUUUCUCAUCAGGACCAGAUGCUGCUGGGGUGUCUUCAUCCUCAGUGACCCCAGAGCCAGCGAGAGCAUCAAGAUAAAGACCAAAAGACACUGAGGAUGUGAUUUUGGUCAAGUUUGGUCUGCUGGUUUCUGUUCAUACAACAUCAGUCAAUGAAACCAGAGUUUCAGAAGCUUCAAAAGCAUCAUCAAAUAAUGUCAUGAAGAAUCUGAAAGUCAGGCUCCAUUGACUGAUACUGUAUGAACACAAACCAGCAAGAGAAACUUGACCAAAAUCACCUUUUGUGUUCAGGAAAAACACACAGACACACAAGGAUUGAACAGCAUGGAGGGACCCCGAUCCCUCUGGAGCCACCUGGAGUAAAGACACACCGGUGACGACUGCGGAGAUCGAUCCAGCAACCUUCUGCUGACCAGUCCAGUUCACUACACCACAGAAGUAAUGAAGCUUUAUCAAAAAAUAGCAUGCAAUUGUGAUAAUGUGAAAUUAAAUGUAGCAAUAAAUAGAAUGGUGACAACAUGAGAUAUAAAGCAUGAGAUAAAAAGGGUUCACCGCCUGUAAACUUUCAAAAACAGAACAAUGUCUGAAUAAAGCUUUGUUUCAUG